AGAGUUUGAUCCUGGCUCAGAACGAACGCUGGCGGCAGGCUUAACACAUGCAAGUCGAACGCCCGGAGCAAUCCGGGAGUGGCAGACGGGUGAGUAACGCGUGGGAACAUACCCUCCGGUUCGGAAUAACUCAGGGAAACUUGAGCUAAUACCGGAUACGGCUGUGAGGCGAAAGAUUGAUCGCCGGAGGAUUGGCCCGC
rnacentral:rRNA from 1 species